rnacentral:rRNA from 1 species
CUCGUAGGCGGUCUGUCACGUCGGAUGUGAAAACUCGGGGCUCAACCCCGAGCCUGCAUACGAUACGGGCAGACUUGAGUUCGGCAGGGGAGACUGGAAUUCCUGGUGUAGCGGUGAAAUGCGCAGAUAUCAGGAGGAACACCGGUGGCGAAGGCGGGUCUCUGGGCCGAUACUGACGCUGAGGAGCGAAAGCGUGGGGAGCGAACAGGAUUAGAUACCCUGGUAGUCCACGCCGUAAACGGUGGGUGCUAGGUGUGGGGAACUUUCCACGUUCUCCGUGCCGCAGCUAACGCAUUAAGCACCCCGCCUGGGGAGUACGGCCGCAAGGCUAAA